rnacentral:rRNA from 1 species
UCCUCCAAGGCUAAAUACUCCUGACUGACCGAUAGUGAACCAGUACCGUGAGGGAAAGGCGAAAAGAACCCCGGCGAGGGGAGUGAAAAAGAACCUGAAACCGUGUACGUACAAGCAGUGGGAGCCCCACCACUAAGCCAGUGGUGAACUCCACAUCCGCAUCCUUUGCUGAGGAUACGGUUAACGGAGCGAAAGCGACGUUCAACCGCAAAACAAGCAGAGGGGGCUUAGUGGUGGGGUGACUGCGUACCUUUUGUAUAAUGGGUCAGCGACUUAUAUUCUGUAGCAAGGUUAACCGAAUAGGGGAGCCGGAGGGAAACCGAGUCUUAAUUGGGCGUUAAGUUGCAGGGUAUAGACCCGAAACCCGGUGAUCUAGCCAUGGGCAGGUUGAAGGUUGGGUAACACUAACUGGAGGACCGAACCGACUAAUGUUGAAAAAUUAGCGGAUGACCUGUGGCUGGGGGUGAAAGGCCAAUCAAACCGGGAGAUAGCUGGUUCUCCCCGAAAGCUAUUUAGGUAGCGCCUCGUGAAUUCAUCUCCGGGGGUAGAGCACUGUUUCGGCUAGGGGGCCAUCCCGGCUUACCAACCCGAUGCAAACUGCGAAUACCGGAGAAUGUUAUCACGGGAGACACACGGCGGGUGCUAACGUCCGUCGUGAAGAGGGAAACAACCCAGACCGCCAGCUAAGGUCCCAAAGUCAUGGUUAAGUGGGAAACGAUGUGGGAAGGCCCAGACAGCCAGGAUGUUGGCUUAGAAGCAGCCAUCAUUUAAAGAAAGCGUAAUAGCUCACUGGUCGAGUCGGCCUGCGCGGAAGAUGUAACGGGGCUAAACCAUGCACCGAAGCUGCGGCAGCGAACGUAUCACCCAAGACAACUUUACGGAGUUGACGAUUGACGGAGCGAAGCGACGUCAAAGCGUUCAUUAAAGUCGAGUUGGCUUAGGGAUACGUUCGUUGGGUAGGGGAGCGUUCUGUAAGCCUGUGAAGGUGUGUCGUGAGGCAUGCUGGAGGUAUCAGAAGUGCGAAUGCUGACAUAAGUAACGAUAAAGCGGGUGAAAAGCCCGCUCGCCGGAAGACCAAGGGUUCCUGUCCAACGUUAAUCGGGGCAGGGUGAGUCGACCCCUAAGGCGAGGCCGAAAGGCGUAGUCGAUGGGAAACGGGUUAAUAUUCCCGUACUUGGUGUUACUGCGAAGGGGGGACGGAGAAGGCUAUGUUGGCCGGGCGACGGUUGUCCCGGUUUAAGCGUGUAGGUGUGUGUUCCAGGUAAAUCCGGUU